rnacentral:misc_RNA from 1 species
CCACCCUCAGGCGCGGCCUGGUGUUGGGGCCCUACCGUGCGCAGCCUCCGAAAGACAGCGGCGGUCCCGAUCCCGGCUCCGAGCGUAGUAAUACACGUCGCUCCGGGCGCCUGGCGGGCUCCCAGCCGGAAACCUCAUAUCAAUGG